rnacentral:snoRNA from 1 species
GCAGGCCUGUGUGCACAGUGACAGUCUGUGUCUGUGGAGCAGCUAGCUUGUGUUUUGCAUGCUGGCAGUUUCAUACACGCGUCCCCUGCAGCCCAAGACUAACAUGAGAUCAUAGUACUGGUCUAGUGAUGUCUUAAGAGACGCUCUUACCACUGGCCAGCCUCCAAUCUCUCAGACAUAG